CUGCGCUCUCAGAGAUCCCACAGAGCAGAUGCUACUCAAAUUGGGCUCAUUUUCAGUGCUUGAAGGACGGAAGGAAAGAAAGGAGGAAUUCUCACAGCAGCUACACUACGUCUCUUCAAGUGUGAAGCUGGAGAUAAGUCUUGUAAGAACAAACCAGCAUCACUUCAGAGUAAGAGAUAUUCUGAGAUGUCUGAAGAAAAUCUGCAAGCGCCUCACCUGAGAUAUCCAUUAAUGAAAUCAACUUCAUGAUAUUUUCAUAAAAUAACAAUACAAAGGUAAAUCCAAAAUAAAUAAAAACAAGAAAACAACAACA